rnacentral:rRNA from 1 species
GAUGAACGCUGGCGGCGUGCCUAAUACAUGCAAGUCGAGCGAACGGACGAGAAGCUUGCUUCUCUGAUGUUAGCGGCGGACGGGUGAGUAACACGUGGAUAACCUACCUAUAAGACUGGGAUAACUUCGGGAAACCGGAGCUAAUACCGGAUGAUAUUUUGAACCGCAUGGUUCAAAAGUGAAAGACGGUCUUGCUGUCACUUAUAGAUGGAUCCGCGCUGCAUUAGCUAGUUGGUAAGGUAACGGCUUAACAAGGCAACGAUGCAUAGCCGACCUGAGAGGGUGAUCGGCCAGACUGGAACUGAGACACGGUCCAGAAUCCUACGGGAGGCAGCAGUAGGGAAUCUUCCGCAAUGGGCGAAAGCAUGACGGAGCAAAGCCGCGGGAGUGAUGAAGGUCUUCGGAUCGUAAAACUCUGUUAUUAGGGAAGAACAUAUGUGUAAGUAACUGUGCACAUCUUGACGGUACCUAAUCAGAAAGCCACGGCUAACUACGUG